ensembl:lncRNA
UCACAGUUUUAAGUUUUUAUUUACCCUUGUUUAUACAGUAUCCCUUGAAAACCAUCCUUAAACAAUACAGGUUUAAACCAACAUUAUAACAGACUAAACAAAGGGACUAGUUGGUUGUCGACGGAUGGUUAUUAGUACAAAAUGAGGAAAAUUAACAGAUACACCAACAAAUGGGAGUUAUUUACUAAUGAAUGGCAUCCUUUUUCAUGCUAAGCUACAUACAUUUUCAUUGAACAAAGUAAAAUAAUGACAAGACAGCUAGAAAUCCAUUGACGUCAAAUAAAAUAGGACAUUACAGGACAUAUUUUUCUACAGAAUGGCAUAUUUUUACAGAUGGAAUUAUGCAAAAUACUUUUUAGCAAAUAGGGAAAAUAGCAAUUCAUUUGUAAAGAACAAAAAAAUGUAAAACAUUUACUGAAUCUGUCCUAAAGAAAUAUGUUAAUUCAAAUUAUUGGAACGAAGCGCAAAUACAUUUAUAACUUAAUAAAUACUUGAAUAAAUAAAUAAUAAUAGUAAUGCUUUUGUGUAUUAAAUUGGCUUAUGUGAAAUACCAAGUACAUACAAAUAAUAAAUAAGUUAUAAACAUACCUUUCAAAUUGUAAUCGAAAAGAAGAUUUUUUUUUCCGUGCAGCUUAAGAAUACAUCUAAACUUAAGAGGAUCUAAACUGAUAUUUCACACACUUGUAAUGAUAUUUUUUUUACAAAUGUUUAAGUGAGUAACCUUUGAAUAAAGGAGUCAACAUGAUUUACCCAACUGCUGGCUACAAGAAUAACUGACUGACUGCAAUUAAAAAUCUUAUUUUUUUAUAAAGAGAAAAAUUGAGUCCAAGCAUUUAAAUAGACAGAUAAGAUGACUCAAGAAAGUGCUUAACCUGCACAUCUGGGGGGUAAAAUACAGCGAAAUGAAACAGAAAAGGAGCAGGUAAGCUGGUACACAGUAAGACUCCCAUUGCAUAGCCGUCAAAUCUGUUUAGAGAUUUUACAAAGCUCCAGGCUCCCCUUCUUCCAGGACUUAUGCCUUCGCCUCUUAUCAGACCUUCAUCAGCCAAAGACUAGGACUAAACUCCAGAAAACAGUGGCAGGGAGGAGCUCACCGACCCUAGUCAUACAAAAUCCUGCAGCUGGUAAAAUCUAGAAUGUGGUCAGCGUCUAGAACGGGAGUCUUUAUUUUUUUUCUUCCAUUGCCUAUUCAAUAAAAAAAUAGCCUCUGAGAAAAUGGCUCUGGGGUUGGGACGUUUGGCUGGCCAGUCUCAGGAGGGGGGAGGGGUCAGCUCUGAUGGUUAUCCCACCAUGUGGGGGUCGUUGGCGGGGCUGACUGUAAAGCGAGACGCCAUCACUGGGUUUGCCCCUACCGGCGACCUCGCUUUGACUGGCAGCUCGUCUUUUCUUUUGGAUUCUUUGCUUCUGGCGCUGGACCCUGAUGGAGAGACAUGUAGAGGUUAGCAAAGCUGCGGAGCAGAGCCAAAAGCUGUACUCAGGUAAAAGCCUUGUUACUUUAGAAUAAUAAAGACGUUAUCAUUAGAAGAAGCAAUGGUCGACCUUGAAAUAAUGACUUGAGUAGGAGUAAGAAAGUCAGAAAGAAAGGAUAACUCAUGUACUGAGUUAGUGGUGGUUGUGUGCGAUCAAACCCAACUUUGGGGACAAAAUCAAUAAAAGUAAGACUUCAUGUUUGAUUGUGUGAAAUAAAAAAAUAUUAAGAGUAAGGUUAAGAUUGCUUCUGCUAUGCAUGUGCAUAUGCAGUUAUGAAAUACAUAAAUCUUUUCUUUACAUAUCUUUUGGUAAUCUUACAAUGGUUAUGAUAGAGUAAAAGUGUGGGUUGUCUUAAAUUAAUGAUUUAUCAUGUGUUUAAUGCCUUAAAACAUCAGAAUAAAAUCCUAAAAUAAAAUCUUUGGAGUUCUUCAGGAUUGCCACUUCGAGAUUUCCGAACAAGUAACAGAUAAAGAAUGAAGUGUUAGUGCCCACCCCUUAACGCUGUCAGGGUGACAAAACAAAGAGAGAAUGCUUGUAGGGUUGUGCAUGGGAUUUAUGUUACGAGUUGUGCAGGUAUGUGUGGGUGAGUGAAGACUCUUCUACACUAACACACACA